CCUACGGGAGGCAGCAGUGGGGAAUAUUGCGCAAUGGGCGAAAGCCUGACGCAGCGACGCCGCGUGAGGGAUGAAGGUCUUCGGAUCGUAAACCUCUGUCAGCAGGGAAGAACGGUCACUGUGCUAAUCAGCAGUGAAUUGACGGUACCUGCAAAGGAAGCACCGGCUAACUCCGUGCCAACAGGCGCGGUACUACGGAGGGAGCGAGCGUUAAUCGGAAUUACUGGGGGUAAAGCGCUCGUAGGCGGUAUGGCAAGUCAAGGGGGAAAUCCCCGGGCUCAACGUGGGAACUGCCUUUGAAACUGGCAAACUGGAGUGGGUGAGAGGAUAGUGGAAUUCCUGGUGUAGGAGUGAAAUCCGUAGAUAUCUGGAGGAACAUCAGUGGCGAAGGCGACUAUCUGGCACAUAACUGACGCUGAGGAGCGAAAGCGUGGGUAGCAAACAGGAUUAGAUACCCUAGUAGUC
rnacentral:rRNA from 1 species